GAUGAACGCUGGCGGCGUGCUUAACACAUGCAAGUCGAACGACGGCGCCCCGCUUGCUGUGUGGUUUCGUGCCGAACGGGUGAGUAACACGUGAGUAACCUGCCCUUAACCCUGAGUUAAGCCUGGGACACUGGGUCUAAUACCGGUUACCAGCGUCCACCGCAUGGGGGGUGUUUGUAUGAUUUAUCGGUGUUGGAUGGACUCGCGGCCUAUCACCUUGUUGGUGAGGUAUUGGAUCACCAAGGCGACGACGAGUAGCCGGGGUGAGAGGGUGACCGGCCAACCUGGGACUGAGACACGGCACAGACUCCUACGGGAGGCAGGAGUGGGGAAUAAUGCACAACGGGGGCAAGCCGGAUGCAGCAUGGCCGCGUGAGGGAUGACGGCCUUCGGGUUGUAAACCUCUUUCAGUAGGGAAGAAGCGAAAGUGACGGUACCUGAGGAAGAAGCACCGGCUAACUACGUG
rnacentral:rRNA from 1 species